rnacentral:rRNA from 1 species
GAUCAUGGUUCAGGACGAACGCUGGCGGCGUGCCUAACACAUGCAAGUCGAGCGGAGACAGGGAGUAGCUUGCUAUGAACUGUUUUAGCGGCGGACGGGUGAGUAACGCGUGAGCAACCUUUCCCAGACAGGGGAAUAACACACCGAAAGGUGUACUAAUACCGCAUAAGACCACGGUUUCACAUGGAACUGAGGUAAAAGAUUUAUCGGUUUGGGGUGGGCUCGCGUCCGAUUAGGUAGUUGGUGAGGUAACGGCCC